rnacentral:rRNA from 1 species
ACACAUGCAAGUCGAGCGAAGCACUUAAGUUUGAUUCUUCGGAUGAAGACUUUUGUGACUGAGCGGCGGACGGGUGAGUAACGCGUGGGUAACCUGCCUCAUACAGGGGGAUAACAGUUAGAAAUGACUGCUAAUACCGCAUAAGACCACGGUACCGCAUGGUACAGUGGUAAAAACUCCGGUGGUAUGAGAUGGACCCGCGUCUGAUUAGGUAGUUGGUGGGGUAACGGCCUACCAAGCCGACGAUCAGUAGCCGACCUGAGAGGGUGACCGGCCACAUUGGGACUGAGACACGGCCCAGACUCCUACGGGAGGCAGCAGUGGGGAAUAUUGCACAAUGGAGGAAACUCUGAUGCAGCGACGCCGCGUGAAGGAUGAAGUAUUUCGGUAUGUAAACUUCUAUCAGCAGGAAAGAAAAUGACGGUACCUGACUAAGAAGCCCCGGCUAAC